CGCCUUUCGACAAACAAACAUGAAAGGUCCUGCCUGCCCAGUGAAAAUUAUUUUAACGGCCGCGGUAUUAUGACCGUGCAAAGGUAGCAUAAUCACUUGCCUCUUAAAUAGAGACCAGCAUGAAUGGCAAAACGAAAGCCUAGCUGUCUCCUUAAGCCAGUCAAUGAAAUUGAUCUUCCCGUGCAAAAGCGGAAAUACAAAUAUAAGACGAGAAGACCCUGUGGAGCUUAAAAAUAGACCUAUAUAGAUAUUCUACAAUAGCAUCAAAUUUAGGUUGGGGCGACCAUGAGGUAAAACAAAACCCUCAAGACAAUAAUCAGAAAGACACUUCAAACAAAAAGUAAAACUUACACAUGACCCAAUAAUGAUCAACGAACCAAGUUACCCCAGGGAUAACAGCGCAAUCCAUUUUCAGAGCUCAUAUCGACAAAUGGGUUUACGACCUCGAUGUUGGAUCAGGAUCUCCCAAUGGUGCAACAACUAUUAAGGGUUCGUUUGUU
rnacentral:rRNA from 1 species